rnacentral:misc_RNA from 1 species
UUUCCGUAGGUGAACCUGCGGAAGGAUCAUUACCGUGUUCUGGGUCCCCUCGGGGGCCCGACACCCCACCCUUUGCCGUUACAGACGCGUUGCUUCGGCGGGACGGCCCCUCGGGGCCGCCGGGCCCCAAAUCGCCCGGAGAGCGCCCGCCGGAGGACCGAAACUCUUGAUUAACCGGUGGUCUGAGAGAAUUUUAAUAAUUCAAAACUUUCAACAACGGAUCUCUUGGUUCUGGCAUCGAUGAAGAACGCAGC